rnacentral:tRNA from 1 species
UAGAAUGUGGUGUAAUUGGUAGCACUAAGAAUUUUGAAGUCUUUGGAUUAGGUUCGAGUCCUAAUGUUCUAA